CCCUCCUACAAAGGCAUGCCUGUGAUUCCCUGUCCUUGGAAUUAGAAGUGAAGAGAUGCAGACUUGAAGAAGUCUGGAGCCAGCUAGCUCCCUGCAGGCUCAGUAUUACCCUUUCCCAAUA
rnacentral:snoRNA from 1 species